ACUCCUACGGGAGGCAGCAGUGGGGAAUCUUGGACAAUGGGGGCAACCCUGAUCCAGCCAUGCCGCGUGAGUGAUGAAGGCCUUAGGGUCGUAAAGCUCUUUCGCCUGUGAUGAUAAUGACAGUAGCAGGUAAAGAAACCCCGGCUAACUCCGUGCCAGCAGCCGCGGUAAUACGGAGGGGUUAGCGUUGUUCGGAAUUACUGGGGCGUAAAGCGCGCGUAGGCGGAUUAGUCAGUUAGAGGUGAAAUCCCAGGGCUCAACCCUGGAACUGCCUUUAAUACUGCUAGUCUUGAGUUCGAGAGAGGUGAGUGGAAUUCCGAGUGUAGAGGUGAAAUUCGUAGAUAUUCGGAGGAACACCAGUGGCGAAGGCGGCUCACUGGCUCGAUACUGACGCUGAGGUGCGAAAGUGUGGGGAGCAAACAGGAUUAGAUACCCUGGUAGCCCGAUG
rnacentral:rRNA from 1 species